AACGAACGCUGGCGGCAUGCCUAACACAUGCAAGUCGAGCGCCGUAGCAAUACGGAGCGGCGCACGGGUGAGUAACGCGUGGGAACCUGCCCAGAGGUUCGGGACAACCGCGGGAAACUGCGGCUGAUACCGGAUGAUACCUGAGGGUCAAAGAUUUAUCGCCUUUGGAGGGGCACGCGUCAGAUUAGGUAGUUGGUGGGGUAACGGCUCACCAAGCCUGUGAUCUGUAGCUGGUCUGAGAGGAUGACCAGCCACACUGGGACUGAGACACGGCCCAGACUCCUACGAGAGGCAGCAGUGGGGAGUAUUGGACAAUGGGGGCAACCCUGAUCCAGCAAUGCCGCGUGGGUGAUGAAGGCCUUCGGGUUGUAAAGCCCUUUCGGCGGGGACGAUGAUGACGGUACCCGCAGAAGAAGCCCCGGCUAACUUCGUGCCAGCCGCCGCCGUAACAC
rnacentral:rRNA from 1 species